rnacentral:rRNA from 1 species
AUUGAACGCUGGCGGCAGGCCUAACACAUGCAAGUCGAACGAGUGGCGGACGGGUGAGUAAUGUCUGGGAAACUGCCCGAUGGAGGGGGAUAACUACUGGAAACGGUAGCUAAUACCGCAUACCAUCAGAUGUGCCCAGAUGGGAUUAGCUUGUAGGUGGGGUAACGGCUCACCUAGGCGACGAUCCCUAGCUGGUCUGAGAGGAUGACCAGCAACACUGGAACUGAGACACGGUCCAGACUCCUACGGGAGGGAGCAGGGGGGAAUAUUGAAAAAGGGGCGCAAGCCAGAUGCAGCCAUGCCGGGUGUAUGAAGAGGGCCUUCGGGUUGGAAAGUACUUUCAGCGGGGAGGGGUUACCCGCAGAAGAAGCACCGGCUAAAUCCGUGCCAGCAGCGGCGUAAUAC